rnacentral:sRNA from 1 species
GCUGGGCGCAGUGGUGCAUGCCUGUAAUCCCAGCAGCACAGGAGGCUGAGGCAGGAGGAUCCCCAGUUCAAAGCCAGCCUCAGCAAAAACAAGGUGCUAAGCCACUCAGUGAGACCCUGUCUCUA